rnacentral:rRNA from 1 species
CCUACGGGAGGCUGCAGUGAGGAAUAUUGGUCAAUGGGCGCAAGCCUGAACCAGCCAAGUCGCGUGAGGAAUGACGGUCCUAUGGAUUGUAAACCUCUUUUGUCGGGGAGCAAGGCCCGCCACGUGUGGCGGGCAGGAGAGUACCCGAAGAAAAAGCAUCGGCUAACUCCGGGCCAGCAGCCGCGGUAAUACGGAGGAUGCGAGAGUUAUCCGGAUUUAUUGGGUUUAAAGGGUGCGUAGGCGGAAGGUUAAGUCAGCGGUAAAAUGUCGGGGCUCAACACCGGCCUGCGGUUGAAACUGGUCGUCUGUAGUGAGCGAGGAGUAUGCGGAAUGCGUGGUGUAGCGGUGAAAUGCAUAGAUAUCGCGCAGAACUCCGAUUGCGAAGGCAGCAUACCGGCGCUCAACUGACGCUGAGGCACGAAAGCGGGGGGAUCGAACAGGAGUAGAUACCCUGGUAGUC